AGCAGCCGCGGUAAUUCCAGCUCCAAUAGCGUAUAUUAAAGUUGUUGCAGUUAAAAAGCUCGUAGUUGAAUUUCGGGAUCAAUAUGUCGGUCGUGCCUUGGUACGUACUGGUAUCAUUGGUCUCUCCUUUCUGACGAACCAUGGUGUCAUUAAUUUGGUGUUAUGGGAAGUUAGGACUGUUACUUUGAAAAAUUAGAGUGUUUAAAGCAGGCUUUAGCUUGAAUACAUUAGCAUGGAAUAAUGAAAUAGGACGUUCGAACCUAUUUUGUUGGUUUCUAGGAUCAACGUAAUGAUUAAUAGGGAUAGUUGGGGGCAUUAGUAUUCAAUUGUCAGAGGUGAAAUUCUUGGAUUUAUUGAAGACUAACUACUGCGAAAGCAUUUGCCAAGGAUGUUUUCAUUAAUCAAGAACGAAAGUUAGGGGAUCGAAGACGAUCAGAUACCGUCGUAGUCUUAACCAUAAACUAUGCCGACUAGGAAUCAGACG
rnacentral:rRNA from 1 species